rnacentral:lncRNA from 1 species
GGUUCCCAGGCCGGGUGGAGACCAACUCUGGGGUCUGUUGGUGGGAGAGUGGGGAGCCCGUCUUCUGCUGAGUGCUGCCGCCCCUUCCCAGGACAGCGGAGGUGGAACUUCGUCGCGCUGCAACCCCCGGCUCGGAGAUGGGAUCUCACUAUGUUACCCAGAUUGGUCUUGAACUCCUGGGCGCAAGCCAUCCUCCCACCUCAGCCUCCCAAAGUGCUGGGAUUACAGUCACUCAUCCUCUAGUGAAACAGAUGCUGUAGGAACAUGGGUCAUUUAUCCUCUGGCUUCUAGCACAUUCUAGCAUGCCCCAGUGUCCAAAUCUGGGAGUUAUAGAAUGAGGUACAGUCUAAUACGGCAGCACAGUAGAUUUCUGUGAUUUGGGGGAUUGCCUGCUCAAGAGUAGUAUGUCAUGGAACUGAGGAGAGUGAGUUCAUCCUGCUGACUAAUGAGGCUGUCCCUGGAAGGCUGCAGUCAUUUGGAGGCACCUCAUUACCAGAUCGUUGGGGAUCAGCUGGAGAGAGUUCACAGAAGACCCACAGGAAUGAUUAAGAGACUGGAGAGGCUGACUGAUGAAGAAAGUAUAAAUGAAAACCAUGUAACUUGGCUAAACCACAAUAGCAGAAAUAGACAACUGUAUAAAUAUCUCAAGAGUAUAAACUUGAUGGAGGAGGGCAAUCUUUUAUGGUGGGAUUUUGGGUUGGGGAGUAUAAACUAAGAGUGGAAUUAAGCCAUAGUAAAUGUAAACUGAUAAUCCAAAGUGUCUGAUAUAUUCUUGGAACCUCCUUAGUUAGACCACCCUAACCUGUGCACUUUUUGAAAAUUGAAUAGUUUGUUUUUUUAAGUUCAUGUCCCUGGACUCAUGGCUGGUGCUUCUCUGUGGAGAAUGCUGGAGAUUGCAUCUUACAAAACAAACGUCUUUCUUUUGUCUUGUCAUUUGGUGGACAUCAGUAGGUGAUAUCAGAACUUCUGUUUGCUGCCACUAGCUCUGUAUGCACCAAAAUUUUGAAAUGGACUUUUACAUCAUGUUUUUCAUGGCUGUGUGUGUGUGUGUGUGUGUAUGUGUGACAGGAU